rnacentral:lncRNA from 10 species
GGGCAUGACUUCCGGUUCCCGCGCGGCGCUCCAAAGCUCGGGGAGUGGUGGUCUCCCUUUCCUGGAGUCAUUUGUGGGAGUUAGGGUCUUAUCCUGAUCUUUCCUCGUCCCCCGCUCCCCCGUCCUCCGAGGUGGCAGCUGCGUAGGUGAACGUUCCCCCUGUCCCCUUCCUUCUCCUUCCUAACCCGAGUACGCUUGCUCGCGGCCACAGUGGCUGCCUGCCCCAGGAGCGGGGAGUCCCUGCCUUUGGGGUAGGGAAAUGACUGAAAUGUGGGACCUGCGGGCUCCUCGGGCUGACUUGGACCUCACUGCAGCUCUGGAGGUGGACCUCGUCCUGGGACCCUAGAAGCCCAUUUCCGCACUCGGGCUAGGCCUUCGGAGCCGCGGCAGCAUAGUGGGAGGAGUCGGGCUCAGCUCCCCCCCACCACAACCGGGAUUAUUUUUAUCGAAGUCUGGAACGUUUUUUCUUAGAGUUCCAGAAUUGAGACUGAAGUGUACCCAGAGACACAAAGAAAUACAGAAGUCCAGAAUGAUCAAAUGAGAUCACUACCCAAUGAAAUGAUGGGCCGAGGAGCCAGAAGUUGUCCUACUACCUGCUUUCCAGGUCCAGAUUCCACGAGAGCCUUCUGGGCUCCCACCAGAGACCCUCAGUGAAGACUCUGUUGAAGACUUUAAGACCAUGCUAGAAAGCCUCCCGGCAGAGGUUCAGGAAGUUCUGCUAUGAGGAUGCAGCUGGCCCCAGGGAUGUCCUCAGGCAUCUCUAGGACCUUGCUGGACGGUGGUGGCUG